ensembl:lncRNA
UGACAAGCUAAUCAGAAUGGGACGGGAAGCAAAAAUAGCAUUUCUCCAGGGUCACUUUCCAAAUAAACUGAGCUGCCCUUUAGAGACUUUGCUGCCUCAACAAGAUGCACCACAGAGCAAGGGCUCGCUUCCAUCACGGGAGCGGAACCGCAGCAGCACCACCUCCAGCCUCACAGGAGCCCAGGGAGCUGCAGGCUGCAGAGAAUCAGAACACGAGCUCUCUACAGCCCAGGGAUGGCUCAGCCCUUACUCUGAGGAUGAUGCUCAUGCUCAACCGGUGCUUAUUUUUUAUGUGGAGUCCUGGAUAUCAGCAAGGCCAUGACCACAAAAUACCAGAUUUCCUAAUGGCAACUACCUUGGACUCACAGCAGCCCACCACCCAGGCUCAGGCAGUGAAGGCAUUUUCACUUUGCUCCAUGAAGACGCCUGAAUGCAAGCCUUCAGUUGUGGUUUCUGCAACAUUCCCCAGGACCACCAUUAAAAUAAUGCUAUUCCCUUCAAACGCCAGUGUGUAAUGCAGGUAUGCCUCUCCUUACCUCCUAGGACACGGAGAGGCAGAGCUUCAACAGGAAGAUGCCUGCGGCAACAUGGUUGAGAACAGGAAAGGCCUGUGGUGGGUGCCCUAAUCAACGCAACUGUGCAUGCCUCAGGGCGGGUGUCCCCAUGUCCACCUGUCUACCAACCAGCCCAACAAAACAUGAUCAUAUAAGCAUCAGUCGAGUUCACCCCACCACUGGCAUGCAGGGUGUUCAAAGUCAUCCGAGAUCCCCACUGCUGGGGAGAGAAGGGCUAUAAGGGCACGUGAGCAAAGCUAUGAAAUGUAAGAGGGAAGGUGAGCUUUGCAGUUUUCAGAGUCAGAGGAUCACCUGAGGCUGCUCUCUUAAUUUUCUGAGUGGGGAAACUAGCCCCAGAGAAGUCACGUUUUCAGUUCAAGGUCACCAAGCCCAGCAUCCCUUGUUUGAGUGCCUGGUGUGUGGCCCAGGCAAGAGCGAUGACUGGAUGAAGGCUCAUGAGGUCUAGGCCCAAGGCCAGAGCAAGACACUUGGGGCCAGGAAGAGAGUUAAAGCAUAAACAACAGCAGCGGAACAUGGAGUGUUUGGCUCGUGGACAGUGCGAGCCCAUUCCACACCCUGCCUAGAGGUGCACAUCUAUGUUGGCUUGUCCCUUCCCUACCUCACUUCUCCACGCCCCCUAAUGCUGCCUCUAUGGUCACCUCCUCCUAACCUACAGGCACUGGCAUCCGCAACAGGGAGAAGUGAACCCAAGCCACUUCCGUCAGAGGACAGACAAGCACCUUCCAAAGCAAGGCUGAGGACUGCAAGGCUGGGGUCAGCGUGGCCCCCCAUGCUUUCCUCUUCAUUUGUAGCCACACAGCGAACAAGAGGCGGAGCGAGGGUUUGAAGCAGAUCACUGCCAUGGAGCCCACACUGUGCAAUUUCAGAGAAACCAUUUCCUUGGAAUGUAUGUGUAUACAAAUAGAGGAAGUUGCUGAAGACUCACGAUGCCAGGAAAGCAGGUGUGCCUGAGAGCCGGGUGUGGAGUUGGCCACAGUGCAGGGUGUGCACUGAGUCACCAGCUGGCCUUUCCUGUGCAUGGCCAGAUGACCCAGCAGUGCGGCAGGAUUUUGGAAAUGAUGGCAGCUGCUUGUCCAAGAAGCUCCUUGCUACUGCAAACUCUGGCCUCCCAAUUAGCCCAGGCAAAAUCAUUACACUGGAAUCAGGAGACUGGAGCUAGAUCCUGACCCAGCUAUCCAUUUGCUGUGUGACCUUGGGUGGCUUGCUUGACCACACUGAGCCUUCAUUGCUUUGUAAACUAUAUGAUUACCUUCAAGUAUAAUCAGAGGUCAAAGAAGCCCAGGAGAGUUUCAUGGAAGAGGUCUCUCCUUGAUUUAAAGCUGCAGUGCUUACUGAGUGCCCAGGAAUGCUGUGGCCCCAGUAUAAAUUAUCCCACAGCCAAGAUCAUCACCUCAGGGAACCCAAAAGCAGAACCUUCAUCCAGUUUGGGUUUUUGAGAUUUAUUCUGAAAGAAAACUUUUUGAAGAAAUGGCUAGAAAUUGCUCUCACACAACAGCAAAGACAUAGCCAUUUUUCAAAGAAAGCUGUUUUCUAGUCAAAUUUGUGAUAUUAAUAUAAGUAAUUUAUUGGAGAAGAAUAAUUCGAUUGGAUUUUUGUUGUUGUUGUUGUUUGGAUAUUAGCAGAGGUAAAUUGAUAUUUUUAGUUUGACCUUUUUUUUUCUCGCAUUAAAUACAAUGCUCCCAAAGUGACAUAACAGAUAUGUGGGGGAAAGCUUGAGGUUAAAACUUGAAAAAUACUAAGAAAUCUAAAAAUCUAGAUCAAUGUCUCACAGACUUGAGUCUUGGGUUCCAAGACAACUGCCUGAGGAUUAUUUGUUUUCUGCAAGAAUGUUUCUGCCUUGUGCCAGCUUUUGGUGAAAAGAUAGAAGUAGGAAUAGGAGUCAAGUCCAUUUGUUCUGGAGGGGCACUGGAUGUCUCAGUGGGUUAAGUGUCUGCCUUCAGCUCAGGUCAUGAUUUCAGGGUCCUGGGAUCGAGUCCUGUGUCAAGCUCCUGGCUCAGCAGGGAGUCUGCUUUCCCUUUCCCUCCGCCUCUCUCCCUGCUCCUGCUCUCUCUCAAAAAAAUAAAUAAAGUCUUUUUUAAAAAAAGCCUGUUUGG